UUCUCUCUACCAUGCGCGUGAGGCUGACACGCCCCAGCGGAACAUUUACUAUCAUUUGGGGGCUCUUUAAGCCGUGGUGUGCUGCCCCAGUACGUGGGAUUUGCCUGAAGCGGCACAGAGCCUGCCACCUGUAAGGAACUCGCUGUGAGGCCCUUACAAGCCAACGGCAUGGUGGAGAGACU
rfam:Geobacter sulfurreducens PCA, complete genome.